UUACCACCGACCAGUCCUCAGCCGGCAACAUGAAGCUGGGUGGCCUCUGCCUCCUGCUCCUCCUCGCCGUCCUUCUCACCCUCAAUGCAGAGUUCCAAGCAGUUGAUGUAGGUAUCUGUGUGACGGAGUGCAAGGUAGACCAGGACUGUGGGGCAGGAAGACGAUGCACCAGCAAUGGAUGUGGCCGGGUCUGCUCCCCAGUCCGGCGAAGAGAGGCCUGCGAGCACCAGUGCAGAGAAGACAGGGACUGUGGGAGUGGACAUCAGUGCGUGAGGAAGGGCUGUGGGCACGUCUGCGCCCCCGUCCAUCAAGUCGAUGUAGGUAUCUGUGUGACGGAGUGCAAGGUAGACCAGGACUGUGGGGCAGGAAGACGAUGCACCAGCAAUGAAUGUGGCCGGGUCUGCUCCCCAAUCCAGCGAAGAGAGGCCUGCGAGCACCAGUGCAGAGAAGACAGGGACUGUGGGAGUGGACAUCAGUGCGUGAGGAAGGGCUGUGGGCACGUCUGCGCCCCCGUCCAUCAAGUCGAUGUAGGUAUCUGUGUGACGGAGUGCAAGGUAGACCAGGACUGUGGGGAAGGAAGACUAUGCAUCAGUAAUGGGUGUGGCCGUGUCUGCUUCCCAGGGCGAAGAGAGGCCUGCGAGCACCAGUGCAGAGAAGACAGGGACUGUGGGAGUGGACAUCAGUGCGUGAGGAAGGGCUGUGGGCACGUCUGCGCCCCCGUCCAUCAAGUCGGUAUCUGUGUGACGGAGUGCAACGUAGACCAGGACUGUGGGGAAGGAAGACAAUGCACCAGCAAUGGGUGUGGCCGUGUCUGCUCCCCAGUCCAGCAAGAAGAUGUAGGUAUCUGUGUGACGGAGUGCAAGGUAGACCAGGACUGUGGGGAAGGAAGACGAUGCACCAGCAAUGGGUGUGGCCGUGUCUGCUCCCCAGUCCAGCAAAAAGAGGCCUGCGAGCACCAGUGCAGAGAAGACAGGGACUGUGGGAGUGGACAUCAGUGCGUGAGGAAGGGCUGUGGGCACGUCUGCGCCCCCGUCCAUCAAGUCGAUGUAGGUAUCUGUGUGACGGAGUGCCGUGUAGACCAGGACUGUGGGGAAGGAAGACAAUGCACCAGCAAUGGAUGUGGCCGUGUCUGCUCCCCAGCCCAGCAAAGAGAGGCCUGCGAGCACCAAUGCAGAGAAGACAAGGACUGUGGGAGUGGACAUCAGUGCGUGAGGAAGGGCUGUGGGCACGUCUGCUCCCCCAUCCCUCAAGUAGGUAUCUGUGUGACGGAGUGCAAUGUAGACCAGGACUGUGGGGCAGGAAGACGAUGCACCAGCAAUGGAUGUGGCCGUGUCUGCUCCCCACCCCAGGGAGGAGGACUCUGUGUGGACCGCUGCCGAGGAAACUGGGACUGUGGGGCCGGAGAAGAAUGUAUCAGGAAGGGAUGUGGACGGGUCUGCUCUCCAGCCCAGGAGCCAGUGGUAGGUAUCUGUGUGGAUCAGUGCCAAAGACACUGGGAAUGUGGUCCACGGAUGCGGUGUGUCUCCACUGGAUGUGGCCACAUCUGCUCACCAGCCCAAGACCAAG
rnacentral:lncRNA from 1 species